rnacentral:rRNA from 1 species
AUUAGAUACCCUGGGUAGUCCACGCCGUAAACGAUGAUUACUAGGUGUCGGUGGGUAUGGACCCACCGGUGCCGCAGCAAACGCAGUAAGUAAUCCACCUGGGGAGUACGUUCGCAAGAAUGAAACUCAAAGGAAUUGACGGGGACCCGCACAAGCGGUGGAGCAUGUGGUUUAAUCCGAAGCAACGCGAAGAACCUUACCAAGUCUUGACAUCCCAUCGAAUAAAGGGUAGUGCCUUUAGUCCUUCGGGACGAUGGAGACAGGUGGUGCAUGGUUGUCGUCAGCUCGUGUCGUGAGAUGUUGGGUUAAGUCCCGCAACGAGCGCAACCCUUAUCCUCAGUAGCCAGCAGGUAAAGCCGGGCACUCUGGGGAGACUGCCGGGGAUAACCCGGAGGAAGGUGGGGAUGACGUCAAAUCAUCAUGCCCCUUAUGAUUUGGGCUACACACGUGCUACAAUGGCGUAAACAGAGGGAAGCGAACCCGCGAGGGGGAGCAAAUCCAGAAAUAACGUCCCAGUUCGGAUUGUAGUCUGCAACCCGGCUACAUGAAGCUGGAAUCGCUAGUAAUCGCGGAUCAGAAUGCCGCGGUGAAUACGUUCCCGGGUCUUGUACACACCGCCCGUCACACCAUGGGAGUCGGAAAUGCCCGAAGUCUGUGACCCAACCUCAGGGAGGGAGCAGCCGAAGGCAGGUCGGAUGACUGGGGUGAAGUCGUAACAAGGUACC